rnacentral:rRNA from 1 species
CCUACGGGUGGCAGCAGUAGGGAAUUUUGCGCAAUGGGCGAAAGCCUGAAGCAGCAACGCAGCGUGAUCGAGACGCCCUUCGGGGUGUAAAGAUCUGUCAGUGGGGACGAAACUUGACGGUACCCACAGAGGAAGCACUGGCUAACUCCGUGACAGCAGCCGCGGUAAUACGGGGGGUGCAAGCGUUGUCCGGAAUCAUUGGGCUUAAUGAGUUCGUAGGCGGGACGUAAAGUCUGUUGUUAAAGGCUGAGGCGCAUCUUUUGUACUGCACUUGAUACUGGCGAGCUAGAGUGCGGUAGAGGUAAAGGGAAUUCCUGGUGUAGCGGUGAAAUGCUUAGAUAUCAGGAAGAACAUCGGUGGCGAAAGCGCUUUACUGAGCCGUAAUUGACACUGAGGAACGAAAGCCAGGGUAGCAAAUGGGAUUAGAUACCCUGGUAGUC